AAUCCAUGAUUAGUACAUUUUCAAAGCAAUCCCUUGUAUCGGUCCAAGUAUUCAUACAUAAAUUCAUCAUCAGCUUGAUGAAAAGAUGUUAUGUCAUUUCUGAGUUG